AUAUCGUUGUCGAUGCUUCCUCUGCGGUUCUCGUUAUGAUGUUUUUAAUUGAUCGGGCUUGCAAAUGGAACUUAGAGCUGCUGCCGAUUAUAACUCCCGAUGCUACUCUAUAAGGUAAAAACAGCAUCUAGUUAUUAAAUUGUACUGUAGUGGUUGUUUUGUGCUUAGUAGUGUUCGUUUGGCUUGUUCUUUUGGAACAACGUCUCUACUCUAAUAAGCACUAGCUAGACAUUUGGUAAGCAAAAACUCUGGAGCUUUCACUUUGCGGAAAACUGGAAUGAGAUUCCAGGCUCCCAAAAAGCAAAAGUUUCAGUUGGACCCUUUUGCUUAGCUGCUAUUAGUGCUUCUUCAUAUUGUUCCUCUUGAACAACACUUUACAGAAGCUCCAGGAGACCAAAUAAGCCCUUAAUUCAUAGAUUCUUAUUUGAGAUAAAAAACAAAAAACAUGCUUACAUGACUAUGAAUGUGAAGAAAAGGCCCAAAAUAAUGGGCCAAAGGAAGUCUCUUUCGGAGCGAGAGGCUCUCUCAUUCUGUUUUCUUUUCCUUCUGAAGCAAAUUCUUGUAACAAGUAGAAAUCCAGAGAAAGUAAUACCUCCAACAAACCACAGUGCUGCAAUAAUGUAUCCAAUUCUUCCGGUAAAUAUUGUAGACUGGGAUAUGAAAAUGAAAUAAAGGGUCAGUUUCCCAUAUUUUUAUUCGUAUCGUAUCCUUUCCUUCACAUGUAGGUCUUAAUUCUUUUCGACAGUUUUAACUUCUCUGCAUUUGAAUCAGGUUAAAAAAAAAAAAAAACAAUUUAAGACGUCGUAAAAGGUAGUGAUUUUUUAUUGGGGGGCAUCUUAUAAGAUAGUGACUAAAGGGAAGCAAAUGAAGUGCGAGUAUGUGAAGUGUUCAGUUUCGCCAUGUUAAAACUAAACCAUCAUUUAUGACAAUGUUAUGCAUCAUUGUUGAAAGAUUAAAAACAUGCCACUCGGCUAUUUUUGGAAUAAAUGAUAGGGUGCUAAUACUAUUUAUGCUUUGAUUUACUUUGUUUAGCUCCCUGUUUGAUCUUGUAUAUGUUCAAAUCCUCACAUUUGGUGUAACAACUACUGAUACUUAUGUGUUUUUCGCAUCCAAUGCAGAGCAUUAUGAGGAGGAUGCUGGGGAAAAGCAAAGAUGGGGGAACUUACACUCCAGUAGUGCUUGUUGGUAAUGUUAUAUCCUCCUCUGUACUUCUUGAAAUCAUCCAAAGGAUCAACUCUCUGUGUUCUAAUAAGCAAACUAUUCGCUGAUUCCGAAUCAUUUUCCAUUUCCAUCAGAAUCUUGUCUA
rnacentral:lncRNA from 1 species